GAUCUCGUAGCAUAAUUGGUCUGUUAGGAAUGGUAUAACCAUCUUCCCAACAAAUGCAUCCGGCUGUUAACCGGAAGAUUCUGUGUUCGAUUCACAGCGAGAUCG
rnacentral:tRNA from 1 species